rnacentral:tRNA from 1 species
GGAGGGGUGGCAGAGCGGUUUAAUGCGGCAGUCUUGAAAACUGUUGAGGGUGCAAGCCCUCCGUGGGUUCGAAUCCCACCCCCUCCGCCA